rnacentral:lncRNA from 1 species
UUUUCUCAAGCUUGUUCACCACAAGUCUUCAACUGCUUGGGUUAUCUUGAGAGUUUGAUUUCAUGAUAAUUUUGUAAUCAAAAGUGGAAGAUUGACUCUCAUUCGGAGGUACCCAUAUACUCUUCUCUAGUAAAAAUUAUUUAUCUACUAUCAAUUGAGAUAUGGGUAGGAUUUUGAGAUUUGAAUUUUAAAAAUAAAAAUAAAAUGUAAGGAUUUUAAAUGCUUGAGCUUUAUUCAAUAAUGUUGUUACAAUAUAGUAAGAGCCUUGGAUGUAUUUAUUAUGAAUUUAUUAUUAGAAUCAUGAUUACCCAUUGCUCGGCAGUGAUGAUGUUUGGAAGAAAAAAUAGAAAACUUCGUAGUUAUAGCUUGUUUUAAUGAGUUGUGGGAUUAAACAUUACAAAUCGAUUUAUUGAGUUAUUACAGACUAAUUAGUGUUUUAGAACCUAAGUGAGAUUUUCCUAGAACAAGAGAACUGUGUAUAUAGUUGUAUUCUUUGGACAUGCAUUAAUUUAAGUUGAACUGGGAUUGCCUGGAAGAUACGUGGAGGCAAAGUUGAGUUUGUAAUUGAGGUGAGUUGAGGUUUACUUUCCUAGUAGGGAGUUCCAUUAGAACCCUUGUGCUCUAUUUGCUAGAUAAAGCUAAGUCAUGUCUUUUCGUGAUCUAAUACUCAGUUUACUUUAUUCUUAUUCAGUACGGCCUUAUAUGUGACAUGAAUACAUGAUUUUGUGUAUUACCAGUUGUUAUGUGCCUUUAUUUAUGAUUUUUACAUUCAGUUAAGUAUUCAGUUUCAACAUUAAUUCAUGCAUCAAUGCGAUCACAUUCAGUAGGGAGAAAUGGCCAACCUCUCCCAGAUUGAGUGCCAUGAUGUCAGGGUUACCUACCUCACGCUCGCAGGUGCCAACUGUUUGUUGGGGAGAUAGGCCGACACUCCCCCGUACGUGUUCCCAGAUGCUCAUGUACGCAGGGCCAUUAUGCGCAACAAUUUUUAGCAAAGC